rnacentral:misc_RNA from 1 species
CAACCCUCAAGCACUGCUUGGUAUUGAGUGUCACUUUUUUGUGCACCUUAAAAUCAGUGGCGAUGUUCUGCAGCUUCAAGCGUAAUAAAUUUCUCGCUCUGGAGCCUGUUAGGAACUCUGCCAACAACCCUCUAUUUAUCUAA